UACGAAGGGGGCUAGCGUUGCUCGGAAUCACUGGGCGUAAAGGGUGCGUAGGCGGAUCUUUAAGUCAGGGGUGAAAUCCUGGAGCUCAACUCCAGAACUGCCUUUGAUACUGGGGAUCUUGAGUUCGGGAGAGGUGAGUGGAACUGCGAGUGUAGAGGUGAAAUUCGUAGAUAUUCGCAAGAACACCAGUGGCGAAGGCGGCUCACUGGCCCGAUACUGACGCUGAGGCACGAAAGCGUGGGGAGCAAACAGG
rnacentral:rRNA from 1 species